UCUAAGGCUUCUCCCUUUGAGUGCUGAGAGU
rnacentral:piRNA from 1 species